rnacentral:rRNA from 1 species
AUAUCAGUCAUGCAUAGCAUAUCAAUAAGCGGAGGAAAAGAAACUAACAAGGAUUCCCUUAGUAACGGCGAGUGAAGCGGGAAGAGCUCAAAUUUGAAAUCUUCAAGGUUUUACCUUGACGAAUUGUAGUUUAAAGAAGUGUUUUCUGUUGAAGUUUUGGUAAAAGUUCUUUGGAAUAGGACAUCAUAGAGGGUGAGAAUCCCGUAUUUGACCAUUACUUUCAGCUUUGUGAUACACUUUCAAAGAGUCGGAUUGUUUGGGAAUGCAGUCCAAAAUGGGUGGUAAAUUUCAUCUAAAGCUAAAUAUUGGCGAGAGACAGAUAGCGAACAAGUACCGUGAGGGAAAGAUGAAAAGAACUUUGAAAAGAGAGUUAAACAGUACGUGAAAUUGUCAAAAGGGAAGCGUUUGACACCAGUGUUGUUUUCUCGAAAAUCAAUUAAAAAGAGUUGGAUUUUGUGUUGUAUUGACUUUAUCAGCUUUCUUCACUCUUUUCCAGCUUUUUUUAAUGCACUUUUCGUUUAACAAGUCAACAUCAGUUUCUUUUGUUGUAAAAAGGUCAUUGGAAGGUGGCUUUCUCUUCGGAGAAAGUGUUUAUAGCCUUUGACUCAUGCAAUCGGAGAGACUGAGGUCUGCAGUGUAGAUCCUUCGGGGUUAGAUACAUUUGUGCUAAGUUAUAGCUUUUCAUAGACAACUUGUUGACUAUGUUUAGUCUUGUAGCUUACUCGCUUAUGCUAUUUUACCUACGCUUAGGAUGUUGAACUCUAUCACACACAG